GCCCCCUCCAAUGCUGGAGCCACACCCUUGAUGGAGGGCCCCGGUGGGUGAGGUCUGUAGCUCCUGGAAACAGACCCAAGAGCGGCGGCAAGAAAGGAGUUGGUCUCCACAAUCCGCCCAAAGCCAAGACUUUGGAUAAGUCAUUAUGGAGAAAGCUAAAGAUCCCUGCGUUGUCUUGAAAGCACACCAGCCGGGAAAUCAGAAGGCCUGGGUUUGAAUUCCAGUUACUCACAAAUGUAAGUGAAAGCGGGCAGGCCAGUGACUCCAGCUCAACCACACCAUGGAGGAUGUCUCUGUGGUCUCAUGUCCACCUUCAUUUGCAAGAUGUCUGCCACAGUUCCAGAUAAUCCAUGGGAUCCCAGGGGAAAGAAGACAACUCCUCCUGUAUUGUGACAACUAGCAGGCACACAAAAGUGAACAUCACGUGGGCCUUGACCUGGAGAGCUAGCAAGCAAACCGGCAUCCCAUGUCAUUUCAAAAUUGUAUAGUAAGAAAGGAGAGGCAUGCAGUGUUCUGGAAGCACAGAGAAGGAUCCCUCAGCUCUACUGAGGGAUGAUUCCUGGGGAGAGACCAAGUGGACUGGCUAUAGAUGCUGAGAAUGAGUUUGACUCUAAAGACAAUGCUGUAAGAUAAAGAUGCAGACAUACACAGUGUUUGAAGAAGUCUGGAUGAAAAUAACUCGCACUACCAUCUAUGCGGCUGCCCCACAGCCAGAGUGGAGAAGUACUGACAUUGUAGAAACCUUCACUUUCUAUGUACUGUUUACUUUUUUGUACAGUGCUAGUGAAUUAUCAGAAAGAAAAACAAAUUUUUCCAAGUGAGGGGAAAAAGUAAAAGGAAGGAAGAAAGAAAGAAAGAAAGAAAGAAAGAAAGAAAAUCCAGUUCUCCCAACGCCCUUUUGCAUGAAGCUUGCAUGAAGUGCUCUGGUCUGCUCUAUGCAAAAACAGGGUUUGACUCCGCCUAUCACCUGGCUCCUCCAAGCUUACUCUCACCACUUUCCCUUUUAAAUCCCACCUGCCAGGGAAGCCUUUGUAGUCAGAGUGGGAUCUCUCCUCUGAUCCAACUUAUCUACCCCAGGCUUACCCAACUAGAAAAACUGGAAAAUAAAAGUCAAAAACAGUACGUUCAAACAAGACGCUGAAAACUGGCCCAACCUGUACACGAAACCAACAUGUCUUAUUCGAGUACCAUGAGUUUGUGCAAGGAGCUAGCAGCCCGCUGGGAGGAAAGGAAACGCAGGCUGGAGACCCAGGCCCUAGUGCAUCCCUGCCAUUUUUCGAACUCCACCAUUUUUCUCACCUGCUCAUCCUAUCUGUUACUCUAACUCAGGAGGCUGAUAAGAGAAUCUGGGGAGGCAGGAGCAGUGCUAUGGAAAUAAAAGGUAAUUAGUCAUAUCAUCGUGUGAGCUCUGGAGGACAGGAUUUGUAUUGUGGGUUUGGUAUGAAUAUUGCCUAGAAAAUGAGGAGAACCCAAGAUGUUCAUUAACACAAAUGUGCUUUGAUUUUGCGAAGAAAAUGCUGUGACAAUCCAACCCGAAUGAUGUCUCUUUUCAAUGACUUUUCACCUGAGGAUCUCAAAAUGUCUCUUCCAGUCUUCCAUCACAACUGCCCCAUAAUGAGUGUGGGCUGCUACUAGGCCACCAAUAGUAGUGUUGACACAUUUUCCAGCAUUUCCCCCCCUCCCCAUCAUGAAUAAUACGUUUCUUGUUACUGGUGAGAGCCAUUAUAACAGGAAGGAAGAGCAGCUCAGAUGUGUCUGAGCGCUGGGAGUUUAGAAAAGAAACCUUGGGUGGAACUGGAAGAGGAGACUGAGCAGGCUGAGGAGAAGUAGCCAAGCAGAGAUUUCUAAAGCCAAUGCGAUGACUUAACCCUACAUACUGUGCAGGUCUUCUUUACUCUUUGUUUGAACCCUGUUAUUACUCUAGUUACAGAAGAUUCCACAAGCUGGCGCACAAAGCAAGAGACAGCAGUGUUCCUUGUAAGCUGAGAAGAUAUUUAGACGACAAGGUUGACUACCAGUAGUGGCUGAAUUGUGUCCCCCAAAAUAGAUAUGCUGAAGUACUAUCCUCCAAACCUCAGAAUGUGAUCUUAUUUGGAAAGAGGGUCUUUACAGAUUUAAUCAGGUUAAAACGAGGCCAUUAGGGUGGGCACUAAUCCAAUAUGACUCAUGUCUUUCUAAAAAGGGGAAAUUUGAAUACAGAGACAGACACACAGACAUACAGAGGGAAGAAGAUGUGGAGACACAGGAAGAACACCGUGGAGGGGCAGAGAUUUGGAGUGAUGUUGCAUCUAUAAGCCAAGGAAUGCCUGAGGCUACCAGAAGCUAGGAGACAGGCCUGGAACAGAUCCUUCCCCAGAGCCUGCAGAGGGAGCACAGCCCUGCCCACACCUUGGUUUUGGACUUCUGGCCUCCAGAGCUGUGAGACAGUAAGUUUUUAUUUAUUAAGUAGAUAACCACCCAGUCGGUGACACUUUCUUAUGGCAGCCCUAGGAAACUACUACAUGCACCACAGUCACAUAUCCUUCCAGCAAUGGGUAUUUGUAGGACAAAAAAAGUAACAGGAGUGGCUUUUCCACUCUAGUGGUAGAUUUUUCUGAGAACACUCAGCCUGGAGAUAGUUGUCUUUCCAUAGAAUGCAGAAAGCCAGUAAACCUUCCCUCUGCAGCCUGGCAGAGAGGAGAGGCACAGAGCCCAGUGUAGGCUGGUAGGGAGCACACCAUCCUACCUUGGACCAUUGCUUGGCUCUGUGCAGGGGCCCACACUGUGCACACAGCUGCUUCAAGCCCCACAUUUUACCAAAUGGAGACAAAGACAGGUAUGGGGCUCCCCAAAGGGAACGAAAGUCCUGAGACCAGGCAGUGACCCUUCUAAUGCCAACCAUGGAGACAGCAAUUAGGGGCAAGAGGGCUCACAAGCAAAAGAGAACCUGAAAAAUCUCAGGAAUACCCAUAACUGGACCCUAUCUGGCAAAGGAGUUUUCUUUGCUCUAUUUGUUUUUAUUUUAUUUUAAAACUUCCUUGGGGGGAAGUUAUCAUUAAAUUGCAACCCCAGUGCUUAAUCUUUGUAUGUAUAUUUGUGAACAUACAACUUAUUUCUGUGUAUGUGUGUCAUUCUGUUCUAUGGAUUCAGUCUCUCUAGCUCAUCCUUUUGUUAUCUUUUUGAAGCCAGGAAAUAAAAACAAAAAUUCGGGG